GGAUGUGAGGGUGGUCUGGUGGUGACAUCUGUCAUCCCAUGGAUCGCCAGUGUUGAUUUGGCUGAUCUGGUUAGCUAGGCACUUGCCGCCUCCCACCAUCACUGUUCCAUGUGUGUCCAUGCAGAAACUGUUUGCUAGGUUCAAGAGGAUGACCCUUCCCAGAUAGAGGAGGACCUGUUCUUUGGUCAAGGGAAAUGAGUAACUGCACUUCCUUGCUAGAACCUCCAAACAAGCUCUCAAGGUCCAUUUGUAGAAGAAUGCCCAAUAGUCAAGCUUCUAAGACUCCAGACAUACCCAAAUGAGGUGCUGCAUGUGGCAGUCUGCCUUUCUUU
rnacentral:snRNA from 1 species